UACAGAGGGUGCGAGCGUUGUCCGGAAUUACUGGGCGUAAAGCGCGUGUAGGCGGGUCUUUUAAGUCAGGGGUGAAAUGCCAAGGCUCAACCUUGGAACUGCCUUUGAUACUGGAGACCUUGAGUCCGGGAGAGGUGAGUGGAAUUGCGAGUGUAGAGGUGAAAUUCGUAGAUAUUCGCAAGAACACCAGUGGCGAAGGCGGCUCACUGGCCCGGAACUGACGCUGAGACGCGAAAGCGUGGGGAGCAAACAGG
rnacentral:rRNA from 1 species